CAGUCCUCAGUGAUCAGUGUGACCUCGGUAUUCGUUUCUUGGACCUGCGAAUCGCCAGGAAGCCAGCGGGAGAAAACCAAUUGUUCUUUGCUCACGGCAUUUUCACACUGAUCACCGUGAGGGAGGCUCUGGAAGAGCUGGCUACCUGGUUGGACGCUCAUCCGAAAGAGAUCGUGAUCAUUUCCUGUUCACACUUUGAAUCGCUGGACGACGAAGAUCACUUCCACUUGGUGCGGUUCAUCAUCACGCUGUUCGAGAAGAAAAUCUGCUCCUCAAAGGAGAUCCCCA